UUUACAUAUAAAAAAAAACUACGAAAAAUCUGACUCAAAAUAAAAAGUUGUAUCUAGCCUAAAAACAUAUUAUAUAUGUUAAAAAAAUACCUCAAUCGUCAAUUUUGAAGGAGCUAUCUGGGUUGAAAAUUGGAUCUAAUUUCUAUUCACUAAAACCUUAAUAUUGUUAUUGUCUUAGAAAUUAGAAUAGUAUUCUAUAUUAAUAUUUAUUUUACUAAAAUUCUUAUUUAAAAAGUUAUUUUAGUUAUUAUUUUGUUUAAUCGAAAUCCUACUUAUUAUAGCUGAGAGAUCCUACUAACUUGAAGCAGAAGUAUGAAAGUAUUUAAAAAAUGCUUAGGGGUCAAAAAAAACUUUAUUUGAAACUGGCGGUGGACCACGUGUGAAACCUUAUGAAGCACUGAGUGAUUUAGAAAAUGAUUAUAUUCUAUAAUCAGAAUCUCAGCUGAAGGUUUACCUUGUAAUUUUGAUAAUGAUGUUCCAAUUCGUGAGUUCCUACUCUUUUCUACUCCUAUUAAUAAAAACAAUUUAUCAUUAAAAAAAUAAUAAACACCAUUGUAAAACCACAAAACUAUUAGAAUGAGUUAAGCCUGAACAAUUUUUUUUGAUAAUAAAUGUAUAAUUUAUUAAAAUUUAUUGACAAUAUGAUGAAAACAUUUUUUUAAUGCAUUAUUUUCCAAUUUAUUUCUAUGAACAAAUAUCCAUCACAACACAAGAAACAAGUACGGACGAUUGUGUUGAAGAAUAUGUUGUAAAUGAAGAGGAGCUUGAUGAUAAUGCGCCAUCAACGCAUGAACAUUUGUCGUAAACUAAUAUAAUUAAAGAAUUUCCACCAACUACAUCCUCUUCACUAGAAGAUAUAGUUAUAGUCGAUACACAUUUAAAUAAAGAAUCAUAUAUUUUUACAGAUGAAAAUCAAGAGCAACGUAGUUCUAGAUUAAAAUAUUAAACGAAAAUAAAAUGUGUAGAACUUUAAUGGCAAAAUACCUGAAAUUAUAAAAAAUUGAAUUACUGUUCAUCAGAUAAUAAUAAAAACAAUUCAACCCGAUCUCCUUUAAACUCAACAAAAAUGCUAAGAACAACAUCUAAAAAUCCAAAAUUAAUAUUUUAUAACAGUCAUCAAAAACAAUCUAACAAGAAGAAACAUUGCAUGACCUGACCUCAGCUGGUGAAAAGUUUGAAGACCUUGCAGAGAUCAAAAUGGAGCUAUAAGUAUCUCUGCAAUGACAACUUGUUAAACAAGAACUUUUACACUCAUCUAUUGAACACGAAACAAAAUUAAAAUAUAUGGCAGAAGAACAUACAUUAAAACUUGAGAUAGUUUAAUAGUUUAUUGAUUAAUAGAUGAGUUAUAAAUUUAAAAAAAAAAAAUUAAUUUAAUUUAGUAAAAAGCUUAAUAUAAAGAUA